rnacentral:rRNA from 1 species
AGCGAACGCUGGCGGCAGGCCUAACACAUGCAAGUCGAACGAAGUCUUCGGACUUAGUGGCGGACGGGUGAGUAACACGUGGGAACGUGCCUUUAGGUUCGGAAUAACUCAGGGAAACUUGUGCUAAUACCGAAUGUGCCCUUCGGGGGAAAGAUUUAUCGCCUUUAGAGCGGCCCGCGUCUGAUUAGCUAGUUGGUGAGGUAAAGGCUCACCAAGGCGACGAUCAGUGGCUGGUCUGAGAGGAUGACCAGCCACACUGGGACUGAGACACGGCCCAGACUCCUACGGGAGGCAGCAGUGGGGAAUCUUGCGCAAUGGGCGAAAGCCUGACGCAGCCAUGCCGCGUGAAUGAUGAAGGUCUUAGGAUUGUAAAAUUCUUUCACCGGGGACGAUAAUGACGGUACCCGGAGAAGAAGCCCCGGCUAACUUCGUGCCAGCCGCCGCAGUAACAC